GCAUUCGUGGUGUAACGGUAGCACAAUCGGCGCGUAUUCGAGAAGUCCAGGUUCGAAUCCCGGUGAGGGCA
rnacentral:tRNA from 1 species